rfam:Ictidomys tridecemlineatus contig097958, whole genome shotgun sequence.
GGGGUUGUGGCUCAGUGGUAGAGCGCUCACCUUGCACGUGAGAGACCCUGGGUUUGAUCCUCAGCAUCACAU